GGCGAGAUGAUUUAACAAUGAACAGGAUAAAUUAGUAUACAAUGCCAACCCUUAUCUUUGAUAAGUGGCAUACAUAAUUCAAUAACAUAGACUGAAAUGAAUUGUUGACUGCCUCAAAUUGUAGGUUGUUUUGCAGGAGCAUGUGAAGAAAAGUGGUCUUUCAAAGAGGAUUGCGCUGGUUAGUUCUUCCCCUUUACUGAGAUGAUAUAUAGGAGUUUCUCAUUCACUUGCUUGCUGGUGCUGCAUAAAUUAGUAGGGUGUCUAUCCCUCCAAUAACUGAGUGUGUCAAUCCUGCUGGAGCUAUCCAUCACGCCAGUGCUUAAAGACCUCUUCUAUCUGCCAGCGUACUAAUGUAGUACUAUGGAGGCUGAGAUGGUUCCUCAAGCAAGCAGGAUGAUUACCCUAGAUUUCUAAAGCCAGAUGAAGCGGAGAUCGCCCCAUUUGAUU